rnacentral:rRNA from 1 species
UGGGGAAUCUUGCACAAUGGGGGCAACCCUGAUGCAGCGACGCCGCGUGAGCGAUGAAGCCCUUCGGGGCGUAAAGCUCUUUCGACCGGAACGAUAAUGACGGUACCGGGAGAAGAAGCUGCGGCUAACUACGUGCCAGCAGCCGCGGUAAUACGUAGGCAGCAAGCGUUGUUCGGAGUUACUGGGCGUAAAGAGUGCGUAGGCGGUUUUCUAAGUUCGGUGUGAAAUCUCCCGGCUUAACUGGGAGGGUGCGCCGAAGACUGGGAAGCUGGAGUGUGGGAAAGGCAGGCGGAAUUCCUGGUGUAGCGGUGAAAUGCGUAGAUAUCAGGAGGAACACCGGCGGUGUAGACGGCUUGCUAAACCAGAACUGACGCUGAGGCACGAAAGCGUGGGUAGCAAACA